rnacentral:rRNA from 1 species
ACGAACGCUGGCGGCACGCCUAACACAUGCAAGUCGAGCGCCCAGCAAUGGGAGCGGCGCACGGGUGAGUAACACGUGGGAAUAUGCCCUUUGGUUCGGAAUAACGUAGGGAAACUUGCGCUAAUACCGGAUACGCCCUUACGGGGAAAGAUUUAUCGCCAUUGGAGUAGCCCGCGUCCGAUUAGCUAGUUGGUGAGGUAAAAGCUCACCAAGGCGAUGAUCGGUAGCUGGUUUGAGAGAACGACCAGCCACACUGGGACUGAGACACGGCCCAGACUCCUACGGGAGGCAGCAGUGGGGAAUCUUGGACAAUGGGGGAAACCCUGAUCCAGCGAUGCCGCGUGAGUGAUGAAGGCCCUAGGGUUGUAAAACUCUUUCGGCGGGGACGAUAAUGACGGUACCCGCAGAAGAAGCUCCGGCUAACUUCGU